AUAAAAAUUACGAAAAAAAGAGUAGGCUUAUCUAUAAGCACAGAGAGUUGGAGUUUGGUGAGAUCCAUCCUUAGAAGUAAGUUCGAAAAUCAUUUUUCUUUUGCAUAUCUGAACUAAGUAAGAUAUGUCGCCAUGGUUGACGUUAUCAAACCCCGGCAUUGUUAGAUGCUUGAGCGCUUAUUUUAUAUAAGAAUAAAGGUGGUAACGCGGAUAAUUUCAUCCUUUGU
rnacentral:ncRNA from 1 species